rnacentral:rRNA from 1 species
GUGCCAGCCGCCGCGGUAAUACGUAGGGGGCAAGCGUUGUCCGGAUUUAUUGGGCGUAAAACGCUCGUAGGUGGCCACGCCAAGUCGGACGUGAAAUCUCCUGGCUUAACUAGGAGGGGUCGCUCGAUACUGGCGGGCUCGAGGCAGGGAGGGGGAAGCGGAAUUCCCGGUGUAGUGGUGGAAUGCGUAGAUAUCGGGAGGAACACCAGUGGCGAAGGCGGCUUCCUGGCCCUGAUCUGACACUGAGGAGCGAAAGCGUGGGGAGCGAUCCGGAUUAGAUACCCUGGUAGUCC